CCAGCUCGUCUUCACUGCGCCACACAAAGUCGCCAAACUUCUCAUAGAGGGAAUUGUAGUGGUGCUGGACCCGGUAGAGCAGCGGAGGAGGGAUUUCCAUCAAGACCCACAGUGCGAUUUUCCAGUGCUCGUGGGGAUCAUGGAAAGUUUGGUUCAGUUGUCCCAGUUGGAUCCAAUAUGGAGAAGACUGCAGACUUGACAAAUGGCCAGAAGACCAUCACUGACACACUUCAAAGAGGCUAGCUGUUCACAGAGUGCUGUGUGCAAGCAUAUCAAUGGAAAGUCUUCUGGAAGGACAAAUGUGGCAGGAAAAGAUGCACCAGCAAAAGAGAUGACCAUGGGCUUUAGCGGAUUAUCAAACAGAAAAGAUUCAAGAAUAUAGUAGAGAUGGCUAGGAUCUAGCAUAGAUCCAGAAAGAGUGAAUAAGAUGGGAGUCAGAUCUACCAAAGCCACCACAUUCAGCUUCAUCUGGGAGAUGGGCUACAAUUGUCAGAUUCCUCAGGUCAAGCCACUUCUGAGCCUGCCAACAAAGGAAGCCUCUCACCUGUGGCAAGGAGAAGAAAGACUCCAGUGUUGGCCAGUGCUCUGAGGUUUUAUAUGAUUCCUUCUGCGCGUACCUGUAUGGAGAUUCAGAUUUCAUCGCUACCCAUACCACCAGAAGCAACAAAACCUGCUUUAAUGCCCAUGCCAUCACAGUGCUUGACUGGCA